CCUACGUGAGGCUGCAGUGGGGAAUAUUGGACAAUGGGCGAAAGCCUGAUCCAGCCAUGCCGCGUGUGUGAAGAAGGCCUUCGGGUUGUAAAGCACUUUCAGUGGGGAAGAAAGCCUUGGGGCUAAUACCCUCGAGGAAGGACAUCACCCACAGAAGAAGCACCGGCUAACUCCGUGCCAGCAGCCGCGGUAAUACGGAGGGUGCGAGCGUUGAUCGGAAUUACUGGGCGUAAAGCGCGCGUAGGCGGUCUGAUAAGCCGGUUGUGAAAGCCCCGGGCUCAACCUGGGAACGGCAUCCGGAACUGUCAGGCUAGAGUGCAGGAGAGGAAGGUAGAAUUCCCGGUGUAGCGGUGAAAUGCGUAGAGAUCGGGAGGAAUACCAGUGGCGAAGGCGGCCCUCUGGACUGACACUGACGCUGAGGUGCGAAAGCGUGGGUAGCAAACAGGAUUAGAUACCCGGGUAGUC
rnacentral:rRNA from 1 species